rnacentral:rRNA from 1 species
UACGUAGGGGGCCAGCGUUGUUCGGAAUUACUGGGUGUAAAGGGUUCGUAGGCGGUGUGGCAAGUUGGGAGUGAAAUCUCUGGGCUCAACCCAGAGACGGCUUCCAAAACUGCCGUGCUUGAGUGUGGGAGAGGCUCGUGGAAUUGCAGGUGUAGCGGUGAAAUGCGUAGAUAUCUGCAGGAACACCAACGGCGAAAGCACUCUGCUGGGCCGACACUGACACUGAGAGACGAAAGCUAGGGGAGCGAAUGGG